GCUGAACGCUAGCGAUAGGCUUAACACAUGUAAGUCGAGGGGCCGCAUGGUCUUAGCUUGCUUAGCCUGAUGGCGACCGGAGCACCGGUGCGUAAACCGUAUCCAACUUGCUUCACAGCCGGGGCUCACACGUCCAAACACGGACUAAUACCGAGUACACUCUCUUCUGGGCCAUCAAGGCAGAGGCCAUGCCAUUCACCCUUAGAUAGGCAUACGACCCAUUAGCUAGUUGGUGGAGUAACGGCUCACGCAGGCGACGAUGGGUAGGGGAACUGAGAGGUUGAACCCCCACACGGGGACGGAGACACGGACCACACUCCUACGGGAGGGAGCAGUGAGGAGUAUUGAGCUAUGAGCGAGAGCCUGAGCCAGCCAAGUCGCGUGAAAGAUGACUUUCUUAUGGAUAGUAAACUUCUUUUGUAGGGAAAGGAAGAGGGUCACGUGUGCCCCAGUGAAUGUACCCUACGAAUAAGCAGCGGCUAACUCCGUG
rnacentral:rRNA from 1 species